GCCAGUGUGGUGUAAUGGUAUGAGCAAUGGACUAUAACUCUGGAACCCUGGGUUCAAAUCCUGGCCUGGCC